GACAGGAAGCUGAGGCAUUGUGUGGGGGUUUGGACUUUGGACACACAGCUGAAGCCCAGUGUAUCUCAAGGCUGUGGAAAGAUGGACUUGCCUCACAGGAUUAUUUAGGAUUAACUGAAACAGGUGCAGAGAGGGAGCCCAGCUAUGCGGUUUGGGGCACGUUGCUAAACAUCUCCAUGCCUCCGUUUCCUCACCUGUGAAAUGGAGAUGUUCAUAGUACCUGUCUCAGAUGUUAAUACACGUGAAGUGUUUAGAAUGGCACCUGGCAUGUGCAUGUAUGACUUCAACCAAUAGAGGAAGGCAGAAGUGACACUGUGUGACUUCCAAGGCUGGAUCAAAGAAGACCAGCUAGCUCCACCACCUCUAUUUGGGACAUGCACUCUGGGGGAAGCCAGCAGCAGGUAAGAGGUCUAAACACCCUGAGACCACAGUGCAGGAGAGGCCAUGUCCAGUUGCUCCAGCUGCCAGUACAGUGAAGCUCCCAGGCCACAGCCAGCACCAGCGGCCAGCCACAAGACUGGAUGGUCUUGGACAUUCAGCCCAGUUGAGGCUUCAGACAAUGGCAACCCAAGCCAGCAUCUUGACUGCUGCUGUAAGAAAUUCCAAGCAAGAACUGCUCAGUUGUGCUCUUCCCAACCCAUAAAAGCAUGAUCAAAAUAAAAUGUUUGUUUUCAGCUGCCAAGUUUUGGGGUAACAUGUUAGGCAUUAGUAGGAAGCAGGUUAUUUCUUUAGUACUUUCCCCUUCACAAAGACUUCCAGAAUCCUGUUAUCCCAGAGUCUAUGUGACAUCCCCACUGGAGAAUGUCUCAUCCCAACCCACCAGUAUUUCAAAGUUAACAUGUCUAAAAGGAAACUCUUGGUCCCAACCCACCUCUCAUUCCUUAGUCUAUCCUGUCCAAUAAAUGGCACCUCCUUCCCAGUUUGUAA